AGGANNNCCUCAGUAAUGGCGAAUGAACAGGGAUGAGCUCACCAUGGAAAUUGUAGCUUCUGGCUGCGAAUUGUAAUUUCAAGAUGUAUCGCUAACGAGGGCGUAGGUGUAAGCCUCUUGGAAAAGAGCAUCGGCGAGGGUGAGAAUCCUGUUUGUCAUCUACAGCCCCUCGUGUUCGGCAUACGAUCUUCGAGUCACGUUCCUCGGGAUUGGAGCGCAAAUUGGGUGGUAAAUUUCAUCUCAGGCUAAAUAUGGUUUCGAAACCGAUAGCAAACAAGUACCAUGAGGGAAAGAUGAAAAGGACUUUGAAAAGAGAGUUAAAAGUGCCUGAACUUGCUGAAAGGAAAGCGGAUGGAACCACCAUUGCGUGGCGAGAUUGUUGUGCGCCUCAGAGAUUGCCUGUCGAGCGAGCGCAAGCAGCUUGGUGGGUUCUGAUCUGGCAACGCGCGAUGCUUCUUGCCUUGUGCGUCACUGACUGUUCGUCGGCGAGGAUACCUCUGGGGACAUGUCAGCGAGCCUUCGGGAGCGCGAAUGUGCCCAGCAGUACUCGCUUGCGCACAGUGCCCUCGCCUCAGAUCGCGUUGCUCUCUGCGAGCGUGCGCGCAUGUGCGCGCUUGCCAGUGGCACCCCUCUGAUGCAUCUCUAGUGGCGAAAUGGUUCCAUUCGACCCGUCUUGAAACACGGACCAAGGAGUCUAACAUGUGUGCGAGUUCUUGGGUGUCAAGCCUACGUGCGCAAUGAAAGUGAGUACUGAGAUGUUCGCAUCAGCAGCCGACCGAUCGAUUGGGAGAGGUUUGAGCAAGAGCAUAUCUGUUAGGACCCGAAAGAUGGUGAACUAUGCCUGAGAAGGGCAAAGUCUGGGGAAACUCAGAUGGAGGCUCGUAGCGAUACUGACGUGCAAAUCGUUCGUCAUACUUGGGUAUAGGGGCGAAAGACUAAUCGAACCAUCUAGUAGCUGGUUCCCUCCGAAGUUUCCCUCAGGAUAGCUGGAGUU
rnacentral:rRNA from 1 species